rnacentral:rRNA from 1 species
UCUGGUUGAUCCUGCCAGACCUGAAUGCUAUCGGAGUGGUACUUAGCCAUGCAAGUCGAAAGGUCGUAAAUGGUCGACCUUGGCGUACGGCUCAGUAACACGUGGAGAACCUGACCUGUGGUCUGCAAUACACCCGGGAAACUGGGAUGAAUGGCAGGUAUUCGAGGAGGCCUGGAAUGGUACCUCGUUGAAAGGAACACACCUAAUCGUGUACCCGCCACAGGAUGGCUCCGCGGCCGAUUAUGCCAGACGGUGGGGUAACGGCCCACCGUAGCUGUGAUCGGUACCGGCCAUGUAAGUGGGAGCCGGGAGAUAGGCACUGAAACAAUGGCCUAAGCCCUACGGGGUGCAGCAGGCGAGAAAACUCCACAAUCCGCUCACGCGGGAUGGGGCCACUCCGAGUGCCAACUUUAAUAAAGAUGGCUGUGGCGAGAUAUACACAGUCUCGCAAGAAAGGAGAGGGCAAGGCUGGUGCCAGCCGCCGCGGUAAAACCAGCUCUUCAAGUGUUCAGGACUUUUAUUGAGCUUAAAGCACCCGUAGCGGGUCACGCAAGUCCCCGGUUAAAUCCACGUGCUCAACCCGUGGCUGGCUGGGGAUACUACGAGACUUGGGAGCGGGAGAGGCAGCGGGUACGUAUGGGGUAGCGGUGAAAUGCGAUAAUCCCAUACGGACCACCGGUGGCGAAGGCGCGCUGCUAGAACGCGUCCGACCGUCAUGGGUGAAAGCCUGGGGAGCGAACGGGAUUAGAUACCCCGGUAGUCCAGGCCGUAAACGAUGCCCGUUAAGUGUGGCACUAGCCAAGAGCUAGUGCCGUGCUGCAGUGAAAGCGUUAAACGGGCCGCUUGGGGAGUACGAUCGCAAGGUUGAAACUUAAAGGAAUUGACGGGGGAAUACCACAAGGGGUGAAGCCUGCGGUUUAAUUGGACCCAACGCCGGGAAACUUACCAGGGGCGAUAGCUGUAUGAGGGACAGGCUGAUGACCUUUCCUGACUGGCUAAGAGGUAGUGCAUGGCCAUCGCCAGUUCGUGCCGCGAGGUGUCUUGUUAAGUCAAGCAACGAACGAAACCCAUGCCGCUAAUUGCUACCGUUGGCGUUAUGACGCUCCGGGCACAUUAGCGGGAUUGCCGCUGCUAAAGCGGAUGAAAGAAUGGGCCACGGUAGGUCAGUAUGCUCCGAAUCCACCUGGGCCACACGCGGGCAGCAAAGGCCGGUACAAUGGGCUGCUACGCCGAAAGGCGACGCUAAUCUCGAAAGCCGGUCUCAGUUGGGAUUGUGGGCUGCAACUCGCCCUCAUGAACUUGGAAUCCCUAGUAGUCGCGUGUCAUCAUCGCGCGGCGAAUGUGUCUCUAUUCCUUGCACACACCGCCCGUCGCUUCAUGCGAGUGGUUUCGGGGAGAGGUGGGUUCCGUGGGGGCUCAUCGAUCCUUGGGGCCGCAAGUAGGAAGAAGUCGUAACAAGGUA